CGAGCGACGGACGAGAAGCUUGCUUCUCUGAUGUUAGCGGCGGACGGGUGAGUAACACGUGGAUAACCUACCUAUAAGACUGGGAUAACUUCGGGAAACCGGAGCUAAUACCGGAUAAUAUUUUGAACCGCAUGGUUCAAAAGUGAAAGACGGUCUUGCUGUCACUUAUAGAUGGAUCCGCGCUGCAUUAGCUAGUUGGUAAGGUAACGGCUUACCAAGGCAACGAUGCAUAGCCGACCUGAGAGGGUGAUCGGCCACACUGGAACUGAGACACGGUCCAGACUCCUACGGGAGGCAGCAGUAGGGAAUCUUCCGCAAUGGGCGAAAGCCUGACGGAGCAACGCCGCGUGAGUGAUGAAGGUCUUCGGAUCGUAAAACUCUGUUAUUAGGGAAGAACAUAUGUGUAAGUAACUGUGCACAUCUUGACGGUACCUAAUCAGAAAGCCACGGCUAACUACGUGCCAGCAGCCGCGGUAAUACGUAGGUGGCAAGCGUUAUCCGGAAUUAUUGGGCGUAAAGCGCGCGUAGGCGGUUUUUUAAGUYUUGAUGUGAAAAGCCCCACGGCUCAACCGUGGAGGGUCAUUGGAAACUGGAAAACUUGAGUGCAGAAGAGGAAAAGUGGAAUUCCAUGUGUAGCGGUGAAAUGCGCAGAGAUAUGGAGGAACACCAGUGGCGAAGGCGACUUUCUGGUCUGUAACUGACGCUGAUGUGCGAAAGCGUGGGGAUCAAACAGGAUUAGAUACCCUGGUAGUCCACGCCGUAAACGAUGAGUGCUAAGUGUUAGGGGGUUUCCGCCCCUUAGUGCUGCAGCUAACGCAUUAAGCACUCCGCCUGGGGAGUACGACCGCAAGGUUGAAACUCAAAGGAAUUGACGGGGACCCGCACAAGCGGUGGAGCAUGUGGUUUAAUUCGAAGCAACGCGAAGAACCUUACCAAAUCUUGACAUCCUUUGACAACUCUAGAGAUAGAGCUUUCCCCUUCGGGGGACAAAGUGACAGGUGGUGCAUGGUUGUCGUCAGCUCGUGUCGUGAGAUGUUGGGUUAAGUCCCGCAACGAGCGCAACCCUUAAGCUUAGUUGCCAUCAUUAAGUUGGGCACUCUAAGUUGACUGCCGGUGACAAACCGGAGGAAGGUGGGGAUGACGUCAAAUCAUCAUGCCCCUUAUGAUUUGGGCUACACACGUGCUACAAUGGACAAUACAAAGGGCAGCGAAACCGCGAGGUCAAGCAAAUCCCAUAAAGUUGUUCUCAGUUCGGAUUGUAGUCUGCAACUCGACUACAUGAAGCUGGAAUCGCUAGUAAUCGUAGAUCAGCAUGCUACGGUGAAUACGUUCCCGGGUCUUGUACACACCGCCCGUCACACCACGAGAGUUUGUAACACCCGAAGCCGGUGGAGUAACCUUUUAGGAG
rnacentral:rRNA from 1 species